UAGAUUUCGAGACCAAUGAUUCCGUUGUUCCGUGAUUCGUCGAUUCGUCGCUGACAUGGAACAGCGCCCAUACGUUCGUACGCAGUUAGCGCGCCGUCAUACCCUCCUCAUUUGCUCGCGCCGCCCUGCGGUGCUGAUUGUGGCCAUUUGACCUCCUUCAUUUUGUGUCGCCAGAGGGGAUCCACGGAGGAGUUAGCGGAGUCAGGCCCGAUUCCUCCUAGGUUAAUCGAGUUCAAAAUAAGUUCAGCCUAUCUCCAAACUGUACAGAAAAAAUUGAGAGCCGUUUAAACUGUGUCGGAGGAAACGGGCUUCAGGAAACCCAUGCUCACAUUUUGCAUGUUUCCAAUUUUAUAGCGUCCUCUGACGGGAAAUAGGUUUUUGGUUGCUAAUUUUCGAGUAUGAAAAAAUACUUGAAAUAUUUCCUGACGUCAAAAUUUACUGUGCAACAUUGUACAUCAGAUACUAGUAAAUCUCCAACGAAGGGUUGAAUAUGGGUUUACGAAAAGGAUUGAGCAACAGCACACUGUUAUACAAGAAUUAACCAAUACCAAUUAGUGUUACCGCUGUUCUUCAUUCAAAAAAUCAAUUUGGUAAAAAUCUACAGAAAUGAUGUUGGAGUAGCGUCAAUUUGAUAUCUUAUAAGUUCAAUCAAUCCCACAGUACGUUGCCACGGUUAGUUGACUGAACGGUGAAUAUAGUUAUUAGACUCUCAAAAAGUACUCAUUUUCAUUAGUCAAAUACUGAUGAGCUGUAGUUUCUCACACUACAAUUUGGUUCUUAUAUCUAUUGAACUAAAACUUAGGCUUCAAUAUUAUAUGUACAGCACGUAUGAAAUCGUGAUGAAUUCAGGUUUCGCUAGUUUUGUUAGAAUGAAUCUUAUUAAAUAAUUAUAUUGAUGUUUCAGAAUGGCUGAUGAAUUUUAAACUUUGUAACAAUUUACCGCGUUAGAGAAAAUGGGAUUCACGUCUUCUUUAUAAUAAAUAAAAGAGAUCUUUCCAUAAAUGCUGUAACACUCAAAACGCGUUCAGCGUGAUCCACUGUUUAAUAACUCGCUCUGGGCGUCUUUUUAGCCAAAUUCAACUGUCGACAAUUGAUCUGAUUUAAUCUCAGAAAUAUCAGUUUCAAAAUGAACUAGCCGUUCCUUUCGGAACUUCAUUUAACAUGUCAACUACAGGUUUUUAUUUAUUCACCAUCAGUGUCUUCAAAAUUGAGUAUCAAUGUAUAUUCUUUUCCAUUUUCGCCAUCCACAAAGGAGAUUUGAAUUGCGCUGAGAGGAUGGUCUGCAGAUUUUAUUUAUAAAUUGAAGUUCUGUAUUAUACACUGUUCGUGGCAGAGUGCCUGAGUACCUAUGUGACGUUGCCCUGCGACCAUCGAAUUUCUUAAUAGUACCAUGAGUCAGUAACGUUUCCAGUAAAAUGGCGCCAAAUUCAAAUGAAUGUUGUUGACAAAACCUUCGUUAUUCCACCCGUUGACUGAAGAAAAUAAAGACCGUUGCCCUAAUGGGCUUUGGUGUGACAACCGAGAAUCAUCGUGCGCUUGCGUCCUCUGAGAUGUUUCAACAGUAGAGUUGAGAACUUAUUGCAGAACAUCGGAGAGUUACCGAUUUCGGCGUGAUGCUGGCUGCAUUCACCUUCCGCGUAACAGUCUUCGCAAUGGUAAGCCCAAGCCGGUACUUAGCCCGUGUGUACUUACCGACUUGUCGGCGAUAGAAG